rnacentral:rRNA from 1 species
UAAGAGGUCCCGCCUGCCCAGUGACUUGUAUAGUUUAACGGCCGCGGUAUUUUGACCGUGCGAAGGUAGCGCAAUCACUUGUCCUUUAAAUGGGGACCUGUAUGAAUGGCACGACGAGGGCUUAGCUGUCUCCCCUAUCCUGUUAGUGAAAUUGAUCUCCCCGUGCAGAAGCGGGGAUAACUACAUAAGACGAGAAGACCCUGUGGAGCUUUAGACACUUAAGCGACCCAAAUAGAGCAAACUCACCACAAAUGAGCUGACUCCCGAUGGUAAGACACCGUUUAGUGUCUUUGGUUGGGGCGACCGUGGGGAAAAGAAAAACCCCCAUGAGGACCUGGGGCGACCCCCCCCCAUAGCCGAGAGCCCACCACUCGAAGCAUCAGAACCUCUGACCCUAAUGAUCCGGCCCACCCGCCGAUCAACGAACCGAGUUACCCCAGGGAUAACAGCGCAAUCCCCUCCCAGAGCCCAUAUCGACGAGGGGGUUUACGACCUCGAUGUUGGAUCAGGACAUCCUAAUGGUGCAGCCGCUAUUAAGGGUUCGUUUGUUCAACG